AUCCAAGCAUGGGCUAAUUUGAAUAUAUAUGUUGGAUGUGGUAAUUGUAUAUCCAUCCAUGUUGUGAAAAAGUUCUAGAGAGGAAGACUAAUUAAUUAUCCUUAUGAGUCUAAAUUUAUUCUUGUAUCUUAAUAUCAUGUUCGAUCUUGAUUUUAUCAUGUUAGUUAUUUUUGUACACACAUUUCAAUGUACUACCCCAUAA
rnacentral:lncRNA from 1 species